rnacentral:ncRNA from 1 species
CUCUAAUACUAUUUCAGAUUAUAUGUUUUACGGAACAUAUACAGUAAAGUAUUAGUAAUAAAGAGAUUUAUUCCUUCCUUAAAAAGGUAAAAAUGGAACAGUAAAAUUUAUGUUAGUAAUCAUUAGAUGAAUAUAUUUGU